AGAGUUUGAUCAUGGCUCAGAAUGAACGUUGGCGGCGUGGAUUAGGCAUGCAAGUCGCACGAGACACCAAUUAGCUUGCUAAGAGGUAGACAGUGGCGAAAGGGAGAGUAACGCGUGGUUACUUGCCCUCGAGACCGGGAUAGUGUCGGGAAACUGGCAGUAAUACCGGAUAACAUCUUCGGAUCAAAUGGUGUGAUUCCGCUCGAGGAUAGGACCGCGUACUAUUAGCUUGUUGGUGAGGUAACGGCUCACCAAGGCUGCGAUGGUUACCGGGUGUGAGAGCAUGGCCCGGCUCACUGGGACUGAGACACUGCCCAGACACCUACGGGUGGCUGCAGUCGAGAAUCUUCGGCAAUGGACGAAAGUCUGACCGAGCGACGCCGCGUGCGGGAUGAAGGCCCUCGGGUUGUAAACCGCUGUCAGUAGUUAGGAAAUCCAUGAGGGUUAUCUCUCAUGGUUGACCGAUCUUCAGAGGAAGGACGGGCUAAGUUCGUGCCAGCAGCCGCGGUAAGACGAACCGUCCAAACGUUAUUCGGUAUCACUGGGCUUAAAGCGUGCGUAGGCGGCUUGGUAGGUGAGAUGUGAAAGCCCACGGCUCAACCGUGGAAUUGCGUUUCAAACCCCCAAGCUCGAGGAAGAUAGGGGUGAUGGGAACUUAUGGUGGAGCGGUGAAAUGCGUUGAUAUCAUAGGGAACACCGGUGGCGAAA
rnacentral:rRNA from 1 species